rnacentral:lncRNA from 1 species
GAACUUCUACACCCAAGAUCAAGUCGUAACUACCACGUCGGCGAGCUUAUUUGGUCUAAUGAUAUUUCUCUUCUUGAUGUAGAAAAAUGUCCAAAAUUCGGUUCCUCCAAUCCGAUGAACAAACGAAAAAAGAAAACUACAAGCUUGCGUGGGUCAACAGCGUUUGGUUUAGACUACUUGUUUAGUGAGAAGGGACAACUUCUCCACAACGUGUACAGGGGUUGAAUGUAAUUCUCUCAUGAGGCUGCUAAUGAUGUCUUUAAGAUUGUAGAUCUCACUUUAUAAUUUAGUGUUUCCUGUUGCAUUUUCACCUUCUGUGAAAAUGCCUAAAGUUGUCAAAACAAGAAGUUGAUUACGGAAAACUUGAGCAUGGACAAAAGCAAAGCACAAAGAACAUUCCAAAUUUGAGAAACAUUCAUGCAUAAAGAUUAAAAAAAAUUUAAAAGGUAUGUGGAUCAUGUAGCCGCCCAGUUGAUGUAAACAAACCAAAUCAAGCAUCAAGGUAUCUUCCUUAUUCUUUCUCCAGCUUGUAAUUUGCUUAAACAGUGGUUUAAGACCAGAUUCUUUCACUUUCUACAACCUCAAAUGGACGAACAACAGAUAUGCUGCCAAUCGAAAACCCACCGUCCACAACUUGCUACAGUUCCAUUUCAAUCAUAUCCGAAACUUCAUAGGUUCUUUGUUCUUUUAUCCGUUUAGAAAUCGGAUGUUGUUGGACCAAUGCUACUAUUGGCUCAAGUGGCAUUUGCUUGAGAUUGAGGUAG